rnacentral:lncRNA from 1 species
ACCACCAUCUCCCUCUCCACCGCCUCCUUAUGUCUAUAGCUCUCCCCCACCACCAUCUCCAUCACCACCCCCUCCAUACGUUUAUAGCUCUCCUCCACCGCCAUCUCCAUCCCCACCACCUCCAUAUGUCUAUAGCUCUCCUCCACCACCAUCUCCAUCGCCACCGCCUCCUUAUGUCUAUAGCUCUCCACCACCACCAUCUCCAUCUCCACCCCCUCCUUACGUCUAUAGCUCUCCUCCACCACCAUCUCCUUCCCCACCCCCUCCUUACGUCUAUAGCUCUCCUCCACCACCAUCUCCUUCCCACCCCCUCCUUACGUCUAUAGCUCUCCUCCACCACCAUCUCCUUCCCCACCCCCUCCUUACGUCUAUAGCUCUCCACCACCACCAUCUCCUUCGCCACCUCCUCCAUAUGUCUAUAGCUCUCCUCCACCACCAUCUCCUUCCCCACCCCCUCCUUACGUCUAUAGCUCUCCACCACCACCAUCUCCUUCGCCACCUCCUCCAUAUGUCUAUAGCUCUCCUCCACCACCAUCCCCUUCACCUCCACCACCUUAUGUCUACAAGUCUCCCCCACCACCAUCUCCAUCACCACCCCCACCUUAUGUCUAUAAAUCUCCUCCACCGCCGUCUCCAUCUCCACCACCUCCUUACGUCUACAAGUCACCCCCACCACCAUCUCCAUCACCACCACCUCCAUAUGUUUACAAAUCACCUCCUCCACCGUCUCCCUCUCCACCACCUCCUUAUGUCUAUAAAUCACCACCACCUCCAUCACCAUCACCACCUCCACCUUAUAUCUAUAAGUCACCUCCACCACCACCUUACGUGUACAAGUCUCCUCCGCCACCAUCUCCAUCACCACCACCUCCUUACAUUUACAAGUCUCCCCCACCUCCAUCUCCAUCUCCACCACCCCCUUACAUUUAUAAGUCUCCACCACCACCAUCUCCAUCACCACCACCCCCCUACAUUUAUAAGUCUCCACCACCUCCUUCACCAUCACCACCUCCACCUUAUGUUUACAAGUCUCCUCCGCCACCAUCUCGAUCACCACCACCUCCUUAUGUUUACAAAUCUCCUCCUCCACCAUCCCCAUCUCCACCACCUCCCUAUGUCUAUAAAUCACCACCUCCUCCAUCACCAUCACCACCUCCUCCUUAUGUCUAUAAGUCACCUCCACCACCAUCUCCCUCUCCACCACCACCUUAUGUGUACAAGUCUCCCCCACCACCAUCUCCUUCACCACCUCCUCCUUAUGUCUAUAAGUCACCUCCACCACCAUCUCCAUCACCACCACCUCCUUACAUCUACAAGUCUCCCCCACCUCCAUCUCCAUCUCCACCACCUCCUUACAUUUAUAAGUCUCCACCACCUCCUUCACCAUCACCUCCUCCACCUUAUGUUUACAAGUCUCCUCCACCACCAUCUCCAUCACCACCACCUCCCUAUGUUUACAAAUCACCUCCUCCACCAUCCCCCUCUCCACCACCUCCCUAUGUCUAUAAAUCACCACCACCUCCAUCACCAUCACCACCUCCUCCUUAUGUCUAUAAGUCACCUCCACCACCACCUUACGUGUACAAGUCUCCCCCACCACCAUCUCCUUCACCACCUCCUCCUUAUGUCUAUAAGUCACCUCCACCACCAUCUCCCUCUCCACCGCCACCUUACGUGUACAAGUCUCCCCCACCCCCAUCUCCAUCUCCACCACCCCCCUAUGUCUAUAAAUCACCACCACCUCCGUCACCGUCACCUCCUCCACCUUAUGUUUACAAGUCUCCUCCGCCACCAUCUCCAUCACCACCACCUCCUUAUGUUUACAAAUCACCUCCACCACCAUCUCCCUCUCCACCACCUCCAUAUGUCUAUAAAUCACCACCAC